GUAUGUAGCUCAGUGGCAGAGCACUUGCCUAGCAUGUGUGAGGCACUGGGUUCUAUCCUCAGCACCACA
rnacentral:tRNA from 1 species